CUUUUCUUCUAUGUGUCGCAACUCCAUUUCCACUUUAUGUCCCCGUUAGGGAGGUGUAAUUUAUGCUGCAGGCUAAUUACAAAAUUGUGGUCCAAGUUCAACUCCUAGCCUAUAGGGUGUGGUAACAGGCCCUCUGUUAUUUGUUGUUGUACUCUGCAUGUGAAGUACUCUGCAUGUGAAGUAUCUGCACUGUAGCCUAUAGAAGAAGUAAGCCCUUGUUAAUAGGGGAACGCAAGCAGUUGAAGGGAACAAGUGACAGAGUCUAACCUGCUGUUGAACACAAACUCCCAGUCCUAUGAUGUUGCUCUGUGAAGAAGCUGCAUCCCAGCAAGUUGAAGGCCGGCAGCCACUAAGUAGAGGAAUGUUUUACAGCGUUUCAGCUUGCAGAGGUAUCACCACCCUUCCCAUGGCCACCUGGAUCCUGUCUAGGGAAGAAAACGAAGAAUGAUGUUAUUACAUGGCCUUCAAGAGCUACAUGACUGCUGAGGUGACAUAUCGGACCCCUUAGGAUUUGUGGCAUUCCUUGUGUAUUUGUUUCCCGUAUGUUCCACUUCGUUUCUCCUUUGUACUUGUGACACUAUUAGAGUUUUUUUACGCCUAUCUCUAUUAGGUGUGACUGGCAACUGCAGUGGGUUGAAUCCUACUAGUUCAGUGUUUCCCAACUCCAGGCAGGGGUAGAGUAGCCAUUUGUGUUGUAGCC